AGAGCGAACGCUGGCGGCAGGCCUAAUACAUGCAAGUCGAACGGACCCUUCGGGGUUAGUGGCGGACGGGUGAGUAACACGUGGGAACGUGCCCUUUGGUUCGGAACAACUCAGGGAAACUUGAGCUAAUACCGAAUGUGCCCUUUGGGGGAAAGAUUUAUCGCCAUUGGAGCGGCCCGCGUCUGAUUAGCUAGUUGGUGAGGUAAAGGCUCACCAAGGCGACGAUCAGUAGCUGGUCUGAGAGGAUGAUCAGCCACACUGGGACUGAGACACGGCCCAGACUCCUACGGGAGGCAGCAGUAGGGAAUCUUGCGCAAUGGGCGAAAGCCUGACGCAGCCAUGCCGCGUGAAUGAUGAAGGUCUUAGGAUUGUAAAAUUCUUUCAGCGGGACGAUAAUGACGGUACCCGCAGAAGAAGCCCGGCUAACUUCGUGCCAGCAGCCGC
rnacentral:rRNA from 1 species